AUGUAUUCACAGGAAGCAUCCAACUGGGUCUGGCAUGACUUGAGAAUGCAUCCAAUGUAUUUAAUGAGUGGAAGGGAAAACUUGCCUAGAGUCAGAUUUGUUGUCUACACAAGUCUUGUUCUAUAGCAGUGUUUCUCAACCUUAGCUGCUUGAAGAAGUGUGUACUUCAACUGGGAGUUCUGGGAGUUGAAGUCCACAGAUCUUCAAGUAGUCAAGGUUGAGAAGCACUGAUCUAGAAGAACAGGCAGUUUGCACAAUGGUUUACUACAUUGGAGGCCUUUCCUAUUUGGUGAGUUGCUCAUAAUCUGCUCACAGAUUCCUCACAGGAACAAGAACCUUGCAGCAAAAUUGUAGAUAAGACCUGUGGUGAUUAUGCAGAAACAGCUCUCCAUGCAAAAAAGUAAAGACUAAUUUUUAAAGGUGAUAGUUAUAUUACCUGUGUGGUUUGUGAACUAGUUCUCCAUUGCUCCUUCACGCACUAUUCAAAGAAGAUAAGUUGCUUAUAGUCAUUGGGGAAGCAAUGUGAGUUCUAGCAAUGGUGGCACAGAAAAUGGACUGCAACCUAAUUUCUUCCAUGUAACCGCAGCGUCCACAGGAUACCCUGGGAGGCAUAUAUAAGUGCAUCCAAUUCACCACAAAGGGAUUUGGCAACCAGAAUGUGAAACUGGCGUUUGAAGGCCAACAUCUUCAAAUCCAUCAGGGGGUGGGGGUAUGAGAAUCUCCAUAGAGCUUCUGCAGGAGGAAAGCAAGCUUCCAAUUACUCCUAACCAUGAACUUUCCCCUGCAGCAAUCAGAAACUAGAUACUGAAAUACCACAAAUGACCCCAGGUAGAUCCCUGCAUAAUAUUGAUGAAAAGCAUGUGCGUCUGUGGCCUGGAAUGAUUCUAUUUUCAUAUUUCCAAUGAGCUAGCUAAGAAGCAAUCCUAAUUAAAGCUGACGAGAAGGGUAUGUGUAGGAGUAUCAUCACUUUUCCUUACUCGGUAUGCUCACUCUACUUUUCCAAGUAAGCUUUUGAAACUUCAGCUCUUGGCUUUGACCUUCCAGUAAGCAUUGAGAACUACUGCAAUUCGCAUCCAGUCCUCAGCCUACCCUGAAGAGACAGACUUCAGACUAUGAUUCUGUUUAACCUCCAUUUUGGCUUUUUAUAUUUCUGGACCUUUUCCGUGUUUAAUGUCUCAAAAAUGGGGAUCUAGACCCAGACAGAGAAGAGGAACAGAGAGGCUGUCAAAUACCCAGAAUACAUGUUUUGCUUUUUGGCAUGUUACAAAACUGUCCCAACGCUGGAUCCCAAGGCUUGUUUUCAAUAGUAUGGUAUUAAAUGAAAAGCCUAACGCUAAUUGAUUUGGGUGGCUCCAUCCAUUCCAGAUGAACCAGGAGUGAGCUGGAUUGCUGAACAGAUGUCUGCCUUGCUUUGCAUCGGUUGGUCUUGUUUGUAGUUCCUUCUCUGAUGACAGGAAAUUGAUGUGAAUCAUGUUAAAUACUUUAUGCUUGAAAGUCACAGGUCUCUAACAUCUCCACCGGUAUAUAGUGCUAAAUAUCUUACCUGACAAUGUCGUUUCUGUUUCACAGCAUAUGAAUAGUGUGCGAGGAACAUUAUGUACAGUGUAUUCUUUUUAGGCAAUGAAGUACUGUAUAACUGUGUAGUAUUAUUACAACCUUGAGGUAUUUUUGAAGCAUGGGAUUGACCUCUAGUAGACUAGUCUAUUUGAUAACUUCAGGAGUGCAGUUUUUGGUGACUUUUUUCCUAUAGCGUGCAACUUUUCCCCCCUUUUAAACAGACAGUGCUGAUCACUCGGAGCUGAGUGAUUUGGUCCGUCAAACUUUCAGAAAUCAUGAAGAGUUAAUUCUCAGAUCGGCAAGGGCCACGGCUUUCUAAAAUUCAAUGCAUCCUAUUGAUAUCAGUGUUAACCAGCUACUGUUGAUUUUUAGAAGCUGAAUACUUGAAACUACCAACGCUUUCUGUUAACCUACAAAGUAAAAGGAAGAACAUUGUAUGUUCUUUCUAGUAUUGCUAUGCUAGCAUAGUUUUUUUUAAUCACCCAAGACGACAGAAUACAAUUGAAACGUUGAUUAAUAUGUAACCAUAAUGAAAUUGUUUUAAAUUGGAAACCUUGCCACUGCAACCCAUUUACUCAAAAGGUUCAGUUUCACUGUAUUAAAUGAGAGUGAUUUCUGGGUAAAGAAGUUUGGGUUUGUGCUGUUAAUUGCCUCUGCUUCUGAAUAUGUUUUAAGAGUAUGCUUGCAGUUAUUUCAUUGAUACCCCCCUUUCCCAGACAAAAGUGUCUAUCACAUAAGAAAAUGUUGUGUGUUAAACUUGAAAUGUACAAAAUACCUGGUGUAGUUACUAAAUAAUUCCUUUUCCCAAGCCCUUGUUUCUUCAGAAUAUGUUGCUAUUUUAUCUUUCACAUUAGCAGAUUAAUCAGGAUUGGAUAAUAUUCAGGAAACGAAUAUUGGUUAAAAAGUAUUGUUAUUUCAAGCACUUUAGCAUACAUAUCACAGACUGAAGCGGGUUUGUUUUUCUCCAGGGAUUGGAUUAAAACGAAAUGCAGCUUUUCAUGCAAUGGUCUUUACAAAUAAAACUCUGAGAAUAGCAAAA